rnacentral:rRNA from 1 species
UACGUAGGAGACGAGCGUUGUCCGGAAUACUGGGCGUAAAGCGCGUGUAGGCGGAUGAGCAAGUCUGCUGUGAAGCUCCUGGCUUAACCGGGAGUGGUCGGUGGAAACUGCUCGUCUGGAGGACGGUAGAGGUAGGUAGAAUUCCCCGGUGUAGUGGUGAAAUGCGUAGAGAUCGGGAGGAAUACCUGUGGCGAAGGCGGCCUACUGGGCCGGACCUGACGCCUGAGACGCGAAGGCGUGGGGAGGCGAACGGG